UUUGCUAGCGUUGUAAACAACAAGACUUGAAUUUUUAUUCCAGUGGAUUCGGCGAAAGACAACCAUGUAUAGAAGCCGACAAGCACAUUGAAACCAACAACCACACCAAGACCAACAACUACGUUGAGAAAGAAAACUGUAUAUGGAAGCAGGCAACAUCACCAAAGCAAUGUCGGAAGCGGACACCAACACAGCAGAGGUGAACAACAACUGGUUUUCCCGACAAGACCAGGAUGAAGUAGCUGAGCGAUAUGACAAGGAGGAUUGGACAACUUGAGACCUGCCACAUCACGCUGCUGAUCAACUUAGUCAACGUUCUUAAUUGCGUCCAUCUUGGACAGGAUGGACGAUUAUGGAGCCUCUUGCCAUAGUAAUAUUGUUUGCUCAUCAUGUCGAUAUAGCAACAUGAUAGCUAAUCAUGGAGUCCAUAUAGCGGAUUAUUGGUCUGAGCAAACAUUCUGAUGUAAUUCCUCAGUUUGAAAUUAACACUGUUAUCAUUACAGUCAGCACAAUAUAGGAUCUAGGAGAUAUACUGAAAACCGUUUGUAUUGGACUCAGUGUCCCCACAGUACCAUGGGUGACAAAACUUCUGCCUGGCUGCCCACAAACCAAAAGUUGCGACGUUUUUAUUAUAAUAUAAAGUAACACAUUCACAAAUACAUUGGUUACUCAUUAACACUAUGCCUGGUUUAUAACAAUAAGAAUAAGAUUGCUAAUUGAGACACUUCGCAUUGAAAAGUUCUUUUAAAAUUUAAAAACACAAGUUUGUCAUUUGAUGUACUUCCAGUCUUGCAACAGUUCUUGUUAAGUACAAAUGGCCAGUCAGUAUGUUCAUAAUGUCUUGAGAUUCUCGAAACACACACUGGAAAUACAACAAAAACUAAUCCUAAUACCACUAGCAGACCUGGUUAUAUCACCUAACUGAAAUAUACCUGAGCUGGAAGGAUCAGAAAACGUAAACUGAGUGUUCUUAAUUUGUCUCUAUGUGUGGAAACAUAAAGAAUCCAUAACUCAUUGUCUAUCUGUCCUCCUGACGAAACUGGGUUCAUAGCUUUUCUGAGCCUGUAUUGUUCAUCAUAGUUGAUCCAGCCUAAGUGAAUUGAUCUGUCAGCAGCCAAACGUACAUCAUGCAUAUGUUAAAUUAGCUCUAUGGCUUUUUCUGGGUGCCUCUCUAAAUAAACUGACAUGUACACCAAAAAUGCGGACAUCCAGCUGUGUAUAUUUGAAAUUGGUCUGGUUGAUGCUUUUUCUAUAGUUAUCUGACCCUGUCUAACCACUAACUGACCCGACAUUCCCUGAUCGGAAGGAAAACCGUUAGAUGAUUUAAGUAGUAUUGGCAAAUUAACAUACUCCCCAUUCCAAAUAAUUUCUUUUAUUUUGGGUGGCACAUGAAUACCCACUGGACAGAACACACUGUUAAUUGGAAUGGUAGAACCGUGCGCAUAUUCGGUAAAGAGUGAAACCUGUUCUACACACUGUUUGGCGGUUACAUUUUCAUUUAACAUAAAACCAGCAGGUGAAACAAUUUUUGAAGGGAGUGAUGAAACAUUAAUAAAUUGAGAAAUAUUUGUAUCACCUAGCUGAUUUGUUGGAGUCAUCGCAACAACUGGUGGGUCACUAUACAUGUCAUUGCAUCAUUACGACCUUCAGCCUCUUCAAAUUGUUGAACUGCCCCGCUAGUUGUGCUUGCAGCUUGUCGGGCCGAUAAGCUAUUAGAGCGCUCCUUCACUGCUGUUCUUCGCUUGGCUGCUGGCACAGGGUGAGUUUCAACUUUCUUUUUACCAUGUUGCAUGUUCUAAAAUCCCAGUUUCUUUAAAUAAGUUUUAAUAAAUAGUCCACCUUCCUUCAAAACGUAACGACAAACUGUUUAAUUUCUGUACGAAUAUAAACAAUGAUGUCAAAUAUUUGACGUCAUUGAAUAUAAAUAUCAACACAGCCGAGUGGUCUCCC